AUUGAACGCUGGCGGCAUGCCUUACACAUGCAAGUCGAACGGUAACGCGGGGCAACCUGGCGACGAGUGGCGAACGGGUGAGUAAUAUAUCGGAACGUGCCCAGUAGUGGGGGAUAGCCCGGCGAAAGCCGGAUUAAUACCGCAUGAGACCUGAGGGUGAAAGCGGGGGAUCGCAAGACCUCGCGCUAUUGGAGCGGCCGAUAUCAGAUUAGGUAGUUGGUGGGGUAAAGGCCUACCAAGCCGACGAUCUGUAGCUGGUCUGAGAGGACGACCAGCCACACUGGGACUGAGACACGGCCCAGACUCCUACGGGAGGCAGCAGUGGGGAAUUUUGGACAAUGGGCGCAAGCCUGAUCCAGCCAUGCCGCGUGCGGGAAGAAGGCCUUCGGGUU
rnacentral:rRNA from 1 species